rnacentral:rRNA from 1 species
UCCUACGGGGGGCAGCAGUGGGGAAUAUUGCACAAUGGGGGAAACCCUGAUGCAGCGACGCCGCGUGAGCGAUGAAGGCCUUCGGGUCGUAAAGCUCUGUCCUAAGGGAAGAUAAUGACGGUACCUUAGGAGGAAGCCCCGGCUAACUACGUGCCAGCAGCCGCGGUAAUACGUAGGGGGCGAGCGUUGUCCGGAAUUACUGGGCGUAAAGGGUGCGUAGGCGGCCUUGUAAGUCAGAUGUUAAAGCCCUCGGCUUAACCGAGGUAAGCAUUUGAAACUGCAGGGCUUGAGUACAGGAGAGGAGAGUGGAAUUCCUAGUGUAGCGGUGAAAUGCGUAGAUAUUAGGAAGACCACCAGUGGCGAAGGCGACUCUCUGGA